rnacentral:misc_RNA from 1 species
GAUGAAGAACGCAGCGAAAUGCGAUAAGUAGUGUGAAUUGCAGAAUUCAGUGAAUCAUCGAAUCUUUGAACGCACAUUGCGCCCUUUGGUAUUCCUUAGGGCAUGCCUGUUCGAGCGUGAUUUAAACCUUCAAGCUAAGCUUGGUGUUGGGUGACUGUCCGCUUCACGGCGGACUCGCCUCAAAAUUAUUGGCGGCCGGUACAUUGGCUUCGAGCGCAGCAGAAACGCGAACUCGGGCCCGUCGUAUUGGCUCCCAGAAGCUAUCUUCACAAUUUUGACCUCGGAUCAGGUAGGGAUACCCGCUGAACUUAAGCAUAUCAAUAAGCGGAGGA